UCCAACACUCGGCCAGAAGACAACAAGAUCCGACAGGAAGACCUGACCAAAAUCUUGGCGAGUGUUCACAGUGUCCACAGCGAGCAGGAGAGCAUCGACCUCAGGCUGGCAACACUCAAAAGGGAGAAUGAAGCUCUGUGGAGGGAGAUCGCAGAUCUGA